ACGCGUUGGGAGCUCUCCCAUAUGGUCGACCUGCAGGCGGCCGCGAAUUCACUAGUGAUUAGAGUUUGAUCAUGGCUCAGAAUGAACGCUGGCGGCAGGCCUAACACAUGCAAGUCGAACGGAGUUAUAUUGUAGCUUGCUAUGGUAUAACUUAGUGGCAGACGGGUGAGUAAUGUAUAGGAAUCUACCUAGUAGUACGGAAUAAUUGUUGGAAACGGCAACUAAUACCGUAUACCACCCUACGGGGGAAAAAUUUAUUGCUAUUAGAUGAGCCUAUAUUAGAUUAGCUAGUUGGUGGAGUAAUAGCCUACCAAGGCAAUGAUCUAUAGCUGAUCUGAGAGGAUGAUCAGCCACACUGGAUCUGAGAUACGGUCCAGACUCCUACGGGAGGCAGCAGUGGGGAAUAUUGGACAAUGGGCGAAAGCCUGAUCCAGCCAUGCCGCAUGAGUGAAGAAGGCCUUUGGGUUGUAAAGCUCUUUUAGUGAGGAAGAUAAUGACGGUACUCACAGAAGAAGUCCUGGCUAACUCCGUGCCAGCAGCCGCGGUAAUACGGAGAGGGCUAGUGUUAUUCGGAAUUAUUGGGCGUAAAGGGCGCGUAGGCUGGUUAGUAAGUUAAAAGUGAAAUCCCGAGGCUUAACCUUGGAACUGCUUUUAAAACUGCUAACCUAGAGAUUGAAAGAGGAUAGAGGAAUUCCUAGUGUAGAGGUGAAAUUCGUAAAUAUUAGGAGGAACACCAGUGGCGAAGGCGUCUAUCUGGUUCAAAUCUGACGCUGAGGCGCGAAGGCGUGGGGAGCAAACAGGAUUAGAUACCCUGGUAGUCCACGCUGUAAACGAUGAAUGUUAAAUAUGGGAAGUUUACUUUCUGUAUUACAGCUAACGCGUUAAACAUUCCGCCUGGGGACUACGGUCGCAGAUUAAAACUCAAGGAAUUGACGGG
rnacentral:rRNA from 1 species